UAUUGAGCAUAAAAACUUAAAAUAAUUUAUUUUGCUCGAUGUGUUGUAAGCGCAAAAGGUCCAUUUUAUUAACUUAGUUUAAACGAAGUAUACGUUACUGUCUAACCAUCAGUUGAGACCAGUUUCUUAUUUGUUACAUUACAGAAAUCGAUUUUCAGUAAACAUUGUUUUGAAUAUACAGUUUGGAAGAGAUUUUAAUCAGUUGUAAGAGCUUUGUCAUAGGCCGUUAACUGUGAGGCCUGUAACUUACUCCGCUUCUAGAACAUGCUCUUCACGUGUCGUUCACGUGGAAAUGAACCGCGUGAGAUAACUUAUGCGUUACGAUAGCUUCAUUAAGUCAUUUCUAUAUUCGAUUUUGUGAUUUAUUCAUGCAGUGGAAGUGUAAAUUCACCUUUUUUUUGUGUGUGAAAAGAGUGCUCAGCUGCUAAAACACUACCGAUUGAAAUAUGGAAGAAGUACUCCAAUUCCAUGUAUCUAUACCGAUUGUCUAUGUUCAAGUCAUUUAAUUCACUUAGAGUGCACUUAACGAAAAAUCAUUCACAUCAGGUAACGUACAUGGUAGCCAGACCAAUGCACUUAAGAAUACCCCUUUGAUAUUUCACUGCCUACUUCGCAGUUUUGAGGAGCCUCCUCCUCCAAGGAGUGAAAUCCAGGAGGAGGAGGAGGUGAUCCAGUCGGAACAUUUUCUAUGCAGAUUUAAAAUCGAAAUUCAACUUCAUUUACCACUUUUGAGUCGCAUAUCUGGCAAAAACCUGCAAACCGAAUUUUCAAGAACUGGACAGAUUCACUCAACGGUUCAUUCAUAUCUUCAAGGCCAAAGGGGGAGACAUUGGAUGUAAGCUUAAGAAGAUUCUGCAACAGAUUGAAAAUGAGAAAUCUGAAAUCAUUGGUAGGCGAACAGCCGUUCUUCAUGGCCUUCCACUUCUCCUUAGAGCAGACCCGACUGAUUUUUACAAGACAUGUUUUGACUGUGAUGACAAAGGAGAGAUGUCCGGAAUUUCAAUCGGAAUAUUGUUUGUGAUACUUGAGGACUCUGCAACCGUGCCUUACUGUUUGCAUCUGGAUGCCACAUUCACUGCAAUUAUUUUGGAAGGUAGAGUUGUAAUGGAUGAUCUGGGAAACCUUCCCAAAGCAAUGUGCCUGCUUUUUUGGCUCAUUUAUGCUCUGAAUGUAGAGUAAUCCUGCUGUACUGAAGAACAUGUUUGAUUUCUUUCAAAGUGUGAUUGUCACUUGGGGCAAGUCUCUCAAACCUGAAAAAUCGCCUGUUGCUGUAACAUUGUUGUGCCAUGAUUGACCAUUUUUCAGUUUGUUCAGAAUUGACCAUUGCGGAGAUAGAAAAUAGUAAUCAGGAAUGUAAUUUUAUAUUUUAGAAUAUAGUGUAGUCUUUAAAGAAACUUUUAAAAUAAAUAGGAAGGUUGUUCAGUACUAAAAAAACAGAAGAAUCUUUUGUUUCCUGUAGGAAAACGUGCAAUUUGCUUAACAGGGUUAAGUGGUUUGUUUUAGAAAAGGUGCUAAUUUUAGAAAAAAAUGCUGUAUUUCAUCACUGUGAGAAAAGGUAAAAAUGUCAAAAAAGGUAGCAUUGAUUGUAUGUAAUUGCUGUAUGUGAAAAAAUGCAGUGUGCUGUGUUGAUUUGAAGGCAUGACAUUGUUUUAUGGAACAAAUAAAUGUCCCAGUGUUGUGUCAAAGA